GACGAACGCUGGCUUCGUGCUUAACACAUGCAAGUCGAACGGAAAGGCCCUGCUUUUGUGGGGUGCUCGAGUGGCGAACGGGUGAGUAACACGUGAGUAACCUGCCCUUGACUUUGGGAUAACUUCAGGAAACUGGGGCUAAUACCGGAUAGGAGCUCCUGCUGCAUGGUGGGGGUUGGAAAGUUUCGGCGGUUGGGGAUGGACUCGCGGCUUAUCAGCUUGUUGGUGGGGUAGUGGCUUACCAAGGCUUUGACGGGUAGCCGGCCUGAGAGGGUGACCGGCCACAUUGGGACUGAGAUACGGCCCAGACUCCUACGGGAGGCAGCAGUGGGGAAUAUUGCACAAUGGGCGGAAGCCUGAUGCAGCAACGCCGCGUGCGGGAUGACGGCCUUCGGGUUGUAAACCGCUUUCGCCUGUGACGAAGCGUGAGUGACGGUAAUGGGUAAAGAAGCACCGGCUAACUACGUGCCAGCAGCCGCGGUGAUACGUAGGGUGCGAGCGUUGUCCGGAUUUAUUGGGCGUAAAGGGCUCGUAGGUGGUUGAUCGCGUCGGAAGUGUAAUCUUGGGGCUUAACCCUGAGCGUGCUUUCGAUACGGGUUGACUUGAGGAAGGUAGGGGAAAAUGGAAUUCCUGGUGGAGCGGUGGAAUGCGCAGAUAUCAGGAGGAACACCAGUGGCGAAGGCGGUUCUCUGGGCCUUUCCUGACGCUGAGGAGCGAAAGCGUGGGGAGCGAACAGGCUUAGAUACCCUGGUAGUCCACGCUGUAAACGGUGGGUACUAGGUGUGGGGUCCAUUCCACGGGUUCCGUGCCGUAGCUAACGCUUUAAGUACCCCGCCUGGGGAGUACGGCCGCAAGGCUAAAACUCAAAGGAAUUGACGGGGCCCCGCACAAGCGGCGGAGCAUGCGGAUUAAUUCGAUGCAACGCGUAGAACCUUACCUGGGUUUGACAUGGAUCGGGAGCGCUCAGAGAUGGGUGUGCCUCUUUUGGGGUCGGUUCACAGGUGGUGCAUGGCUGUCGUCAGCUCGUGUCGUGAGAUGUUGGGUUAAGUCCCGCAACGAGCGCAACCCUUGUUCACUGUUGCCAGCACGUUAUGGUGGGGACUCAGUGGAGACCGCCGGGGUCAACUCGGAGGAAGGUGGGGAUGACGUCAAGUCAUCAUGCCCCUUAUGUCCAGGGCUUCACGCAUGCUACAAUGGCUGGUACAGAGAGUGGCGAGCCUGUGAGGGUGAGCGAAUCUCGGAAAGCCGGUCUCAGUUCGGAUUGGGGUCUGCAACUCGACCUCAUGAAGUCGGAGUCGCUAGUAAUCGCAGAUCAGCAACGCUGCGGUGAAUACGUUCCCGGG
rnacentral:rRNA from 1 species